UCUGUAGGUGGCUUGCUAAGUCAGACGUGAAAUCCCUCAGCUUAACUGGGGAACUGCGUCUGAGACUGGCGAGCUUGAGGGCAGGAGAGGAACGCGGAAUUCCAGGUGUAGCGGUGAAAUGCGUAGAUAUCUGGAGGAACACCGGUGGCGAAGGCGGCGUUCUGGACUGCAUCUGACACUGAAAGACGAAAGCCAGGGAGCAAACG
rnacentral:rRNA from 1 species